GGAGUGUGCUCACAGCAAAGGAUCCAUAGAAUGACUCCUCUAUAUACAAACCAUUUAACAGCAAUCUGGGGCCACUGUGAUGAAUGGCACAACACUUAUAGCUUCUGUGUGUGCAAAGGCCCCCCCAAA